rnacentral:lncRNA from 1 species
AUGUGUGGUUCCUCGAUGGCCAGAGAAGCAGCAGCCGAUUCUGAAGUCACCUCCAUUUCACAAGCUGCCCUGAAUUUCAAAUGCUGUCACCUUCCGAGGGGCCUGGGACGCUCACCUGGUCAGAACAGCAGUGCGGAAAACACCUGCUCGUUGGGGGUGACCGUUCACAGGGCCAAUGGCCUCCAUCCUCACCGGGGGUCCUCCUGGCUCUCGGGCAGGGCCUGCCAUCAGCCCCGUUUUACAGACAUGGAGCCUGGGUGGCCCUGUCUGAUGGCCGCAAGUGACAGGGGGCCAGGUCUGCACCCCACAGGCAGGUUGGGGCCCCUCUCCCAGCCUCACCUCUCAGGAUGCCACCCCCCCCCCGGGGGCCCCCCCAUUAAACUACCAAUGGGGGCAAAGGCCAUCGAGCAGUGGCAGGGCCUGCAGAGUGUUUGGAAGUUUCUGUCUGGGGGCAGAAGGAACCUCUCUCAGGCUGGGAAAAAAGCCUCUCUCGUGAGAGCCCGAGAAGCCCUUCCACUUACAAGUGACACCAGCAGAGAGUCAGGGGCCUUAGCACGGGCCCCCGCCAUCACUGUCAAUCUGAUUCCACUUCAAUAAACAGCUCUGAUAUGACAUCAAAAACAAACGACAAACAUAAACGGGACCUCACCAAAAGGAAACACUUUUGGGAGUUCCCGUUGUGGCUCAGUGGAAACAAAUCUGACUAGUACCCAUGAGGACACAGGUUCGAUCCCAGUCUCACUCAGUGGGUUAAGAAUCCGGCGUUGCUGUGAGCUGUGGUGAAGGUCGCAGAUAUGGCUCGGAUCUGGCAUUGCUGUGUGUGGCGUAGGCCGGUGGCUACAGCUCUGAUUGGACCCCUAGACUGGGAACCUCCAUAUGCCGCAGGUGCAGCCCUAAAAAAUCAAAAAAAAGAAAGAAAGAAAAACUUUUGUGCCUCAAAGGACACCAUCCAGAAACUGAAAAAGCAACCCACAGAACGGAACAGAAGAUUUGCAAAUCGUAUAUCUGAUGGAGUUGUAUCUAGAAUACAUAAAGCAUCCUUAUAUCUCAACAAUAAAAAGGCACAUAGCCCAAUGAAAAAAACAGACGAAGGACUGGAAGAGACAUUUCUCCGAAGAGGAUACACAAAUGGCCAACAAGCGCAUGAAAAAAAUAACACAACACCCUUCGUCAUCAGGGAAACAAACCCACACUGUGGCGAGACCCCGUCUCACACCCGCUAGGAGGGCCGGAGUCAGAAAGUCAGACAACAAGCAGUGCUGGCGAGGAUGUGGGGAAACCAGGACUCGGACUCGGCUGGGGGCAGAAGACGGUGGAAAGCAGCCCGACGGCCCCCAGAGAGGGCAGCAGAAAUCACCGCCUGAUCUGGCAAUUCCGCUCCGAGGCCUGGACCCAGGACGAGCGUGUGUCCACGGGGGACGCGCAACAACCACGCUCACAAGGAUGGGUCCCAAGAGCCAAGGAGGGAAACGAAUUCCACCGACAGAUUAACACCAGCAGCAGACGUCAGCAUCGAAGGAGCAGGGCGUGCUCUCCCCACACCCGCAGCACCCCAAAGGGGUGAGGUGACUCCAGCCACGGCGUGGACGGGCCGGAAACACGCUCAGGAGAGAAGCCGGGCGCAGAAAGGGCGCUUGCUGAAUUACUGCCCUGACGUGACACACCCGGAGCAGACGGCUGGCGGCUGCCCAGGGCUGGCGAGGGGGUGGGAGUGGGGGUGGGGGGCUGCUCAGGGCGGGAAGACCCAACCCUGACUUGGUGACGGCUGCACGGCCCUGUGGAUGCACAGAAACCACGUGAACGCGGCGUAACUCAGCGCAAGAAAGCUGUGACCAAAACCACGUCCCCGCCCCGUCCUAUGAGUCACCCGGCAAAAAGCCCCGUCCUUUGUCUUUCGGUUCCAGGAGCCUUUCUCUUGCGUCAGGGUUCACCCGGAGGCCUGGGACAUUGCCUGGGGCUCCAGCCUCGCUGUCCCCAGGCCUUGCAGGCCCGUGCUGGGCGCACCCCCGCCUCCGGGGCCAGCACAGCGGGAACCGGGGACCCAGGAGCUUCUUGAUCUUCUCUGGUCCCCGAGGGCCACCCACCCCUCCUACCUGUUGUGGUCACCUGCUCUGCGCACCUGUGGGACAGCGCUGGCCCAGUGGCGAGUGUCUGCAGGGCAAGCUGGGGGGGGGGGGGGGGGACACGGAGGUGCUGCAAGGCACACUCGGAAAUGAAGGCUUCGAAAGAGGUGCCUCCUCCCAGACAAGGGCAGGGACGGAGCGACAGCGUUCUGGGCUGGGACAAGCGGUGCCGGCCACUCGGGGCCCUCAGGAAGCCCGCCCCCUGGGAGGUGGAUACGGCCAGAAGGAACUCGGCCUACCACGGAGACCCCAAAGGAUCGUCUCACUUGUCAGCCCAGUCCUAAUUUAACUCGAAGGAAGAAAGAGCCUCUGGUGGUACCUGGGCACAGGGUACCCCCCGUCGGCAGGAGGGGCUCUGAGCCGGCACACCAACCCCUGCCACCCGCCCCGGCACGUCCUGAUGUGGGGACCUACCCCGUCAGCAGGAGGGGGCUCUGAGCCGGCACACUGCCCCUGAUCCCGCAUGUCCUGAUGUGGGGACUGGCCCCCGGAGAGCAGUGGGGCUGCUGGGGAAGGAGACACUGAGAUGGACUGCAGAAGCGGAUGGCGUGAGGGACCACCUGCUUCCUCAAAACACACCAGCGCCAGGACACUCACCAGGGAAAAGCGAGGCUCGAGGACAGCAGGCCAGAAGGGUCCCAGAGACAGGGCCUCUGCUCCCGGGCCCCUCACUCUGCUGGACCACCACCACCCUCGGCACUCCAGCAAGGGACAUGCACGCGCCCACCCACAGCACACACCGGCCCUGCCCAGGAGGACCGCAGCCACCGCCCUUGAACUUGGCGGGGGGCGGUGGUGGUGGCGAGAAGCUGCAGAGAAGGGCCAGCCAAUAGACAGUCCUGCAGCCAC